UGGCAAUGGUGGAGACAUGGAAUUUUUGCAAAAAAAAUGGGGUAGAGGAAAAUAAGACAUCUGUGUGAGUAUAUAACCAUUUGAUCUCUUUUUUUAGCCCUCUCCAGGGUCACCCUAGAAUCAGAUCUGCUCCCCAGCAUCUUCUGUUUCCUGGAGUGUGUUGUCUGCUACUUUGGAUUGGCCAUGACAGGCUGGAGCUGCCUUGUGACAGGAGCAGGAGGGUUUCUGGGUUAGAGUAUCAUCCGCCUCUUGGUGGAGGAGAAGGAGCUGAAGGAGAUCAGGGCCUUGGACAAGGCCUUCAGACCGGAAUUGAGGAAGGAAUUUUCUGAAAUUGCAGAAUUUGCUGUAGCAACUUCUUGUGCAAAUAACUCCAUGAGGAAAGUAGAAAAGGAGUCAUAUCCAACUGGACAAUGAACUAUCAAGAUCCAGAAACAUAAAACAACUUGCUAAGACCAUCUGGUUAAUGUGUAGCAGACCUCAGACCAGAGCUUCAUCCAGAAGCAUCAUCACUUUACUCUGGAGCUGAUCCUUGGCAAA
rnacentral:lncRNA from 1 species